AGGAACGAGGGAGGAGUGCUUAACACAUGCAAGUCGAACGGAAAGGCCCUGCUUGCAGGGUACUCGAGUGGCGAACGGGUGAGUAACACGUGGGUGAUCUGCCCUGCACUUCGGGAUAAGCCUGGGAAACUGGGUCUAAUACCGGAUAGGAGCCAUUUUUAGUGUGAUGGUUGGAAAGUUUUUUCGGUGUAGGAUGAGCUCGCGGCCUAUCAGCUUGUUGGUGGGGUAAUGGCCUACCAAGGCGGCGACGGGUAGCCGGCCUGAGAGGGUGGACGGCCACAUUGGGACUGAGAUACGGCCCAGACUCCUACGGGAGGCAGCAGUGGGGAAUAUUGCACAAUGGGCGCAAGCCUGAUGCAGCGACGCCGCGUGGGGGAUGACGGCCUUCGGGUUGUAAACUCCUUUCGCUAGGGACGAAGCUUUUUGUGACGGUACCUAGAUAAGAAGCACCGGCUAACUACGUG
rnacentral:rRNA from 1 species